AAUCUAUGCAUCAGACAUUUCCAAAGUAAGUCUUUAAAUUGUUCCCAAGCUUCAUAUAGCGUUUCAUCCUCCGAUUGCUAAAAAGAUGUGAUUUCAUUUCUAAGCUU
rfam:Gossypium raimondii Chr07_contig_745, whole genome shotgun sequence.